rnacentral:rRNA from 1 species
AUGAACCCACGUCCUCCACCUUCUCCCACGACCCAAUCUCCAUCUACAUAUCUCCCCCUUCCACUGGCGUCCCCCCCAACGGCGGCCCCUCUCUCCCGCAUCAAGCACCGCACCGGCCGCGGCACCUGUGGAACACCCACCAUCUCCUCCUCCUCUCAUUGCCCUACCUCGCAGCCAGUGUCACCCGUCCGCACCCCCAGCAGCCGCCAGAUUGGUUCGCCAUCCCGCCGCACCAGCCAUACGCGUUGCUGCGGCCAGCCACCACCCCAAUCCGCUGCAUAUUGCCACCCGCUGGCCGAGCGAGAACGCUUUGGAUCGGAGGCAUGCGGUAUUGGAUGGAGGAUAUAUAACUACAUCUACAGUUGGUCCGUGAGCAAGGGUGAGCCUCCUGUGACAACCGACAGCAACCAAAAAAAUGAUGGCAUUAGCCCAUUGCCUGAUGAAGAAGAUGAGAGUAGGGAAGAAGAUGGUGAUGAGGUGGAGGAGAGUGGUGGUGGGCACAUCCUCGCUUCAGGGCCGAACAGGAAAACCUCCCCGCCACCAUUAGGGAGCUCUUGGUUGCACCGCAAGAUGCAAGGCCUUUUCAAAUCACUCAUGUCGCUUAACUGCUAUGGACUCUCGCUGGUCAAGAUGAAUCAUUUUGUGCAGGUUAGCCUCACCCACUUCUUCUUGUCCUACUGCGACAUUUGGACAAUGACGGAAACUCUCAAGGAACACGCCGGUCUCUGGCAUGAUUUCCUUUCCUCGUGCAAUGCGUGA